rnacentral:rRNA from 1 species
UACGGAGGGUGCAAGCGUUAUCCGGAUUCACUGGGUUUAAAGGGUGCGUAGGUGGGUUGGUAAGUCAGUGGUGAAAUCUUCGAGCUUAACUCGGAAACUGCCGUUGAUACUAUCAAUCUUGAAUCUCGUGGAGGUAAGCGGAAUAUGUCAUGUAGCGGUGAAAUGCUUAGAUAUGACAUAGAACACCGAUAGCGAAGGCAGCCUUCUGGGCCAACGCUGACGCUCAUGCACGAAAGCGUGGGGAGCAAACAGG